GAAUAUUGCACAAUGGGGGAAACCCUGAUGCAGCCAUGCCGCGUGUGUGAAGAAGGCCUUCGGGUUGUAAAGCACUUUCAGCGAGGAGGAAGGGUGUUGUGUUAAUAGCACAGCAUUUUGACGUUACUCGCAGAAGAAGCACCGGCUAACUCCGUGCCAGCAGCCGCGGUAAUACGGAGGGGGCUAGCGUUGUUCGGAAUUACUGGGCGUAAAGCGCGCGUAGGCGGAUGUUCAAGUCGGGGGUGAAAUCCCGGGGCUCAACCCCGGAACUGCCUCCGAUACUGGACGUCUGGAGGACGGGAGAGGCGAGUGGAAUGCCGAGUGUAGAGGUGAAAUUCGUAGAUAUUCGGCGGAACACCCGUGGCGAAGGCGGCUCGCUGGUCCGUUUCUGACGCUGAGGCGCGAAAGCGUGGGGAGCAAACAGG
rnacentral:rRNA from 1 species